UACGUAGGGGGCUAGCGUUGUCCGGAAUCAUUGGGCGUAAAGAGCGUGUAGGCGGCCCGGUAAGUCCGCUGUGAAAGUCGGGGGCUCAACCCUCGAAUGCCGGUGGAUACUGUCGGGCUAGAGUGCGGAAGAGGCGAGUGGAAUUCCUGGUGUAGCGGUGAAAUGCGCAGAUAUCAGGAGGAACACCGAUUGCGAAGGCAGCUCGCUGGGACGUCACUGACGCUGAGACGCGAAAGCGUGGGGAGCGAACAGG
rnacentral:rRNA from 1 species